GAUGAACGCUGGCGGCGUGCCUAAUACAUGCAAGUCGAGCGAACAGACGAGGAGCUUGCUCCUCUGACGUUAGCGGCGGACGGGUGAGUAACACGUGGAUAACCUACCUAUAAGACUGGGAUAACUUCGGGAAACCGGAGCUAAUACCGGAUAAUAUAUUGAACCGCAUGGUUCAAUAGUGAAAGACGGUUUUGCUGUCACUUAUAGAUGGAUCCGCGCCGCAUUAGCUAGUUGGUAAGGUAACGGCUUACCAAGGCAACGAUGCGUAGCCGACCUGAGAGGGUGAUCGGCCACACUGGAACUGAGACACGGUCCAGACUCCUACGGGAGGCAGCAGUAGGGAAUCUUCCGCAAUGGGCGAAAGCCUGACGGAGCAACGCCGCGUGAGUGAUGAAGGUCUUCGGAUCGUAAAACUCUGUUAUUAGGGAAGAACAAAUGUGUAAGUAACUAUGCACGUCUUGACGGUACCUAAUCAGGAAGCCACGGCUAACUACGU
rnacentral:rRNA from 1 species